rnacentral:rRNA from 1 species
UGGGGAAUUUUGGACAAUGGGGGCAACCCUGAUCCAGCAAUGCCGCGUGUGUGAAGAAGGCCUUCGGGUUGUAAAGCACUUUUGUCCGGAAAGAAAACGCCGUGGUUAAUACCCGUGGCGGAUGACGGUACCGGAAGAAUAAGCACCGGCUAACUACGUGCCAGCAGCCGCGGUAAUACGUAGGGUGCAAGCGUUAAUCGGAAUUACUGGGCGUAAAGCGUGCGCAGGCGGUCCGCUAAGACAGAUGUGAAAUCCCCGGGCUUAACCUGGGAACUGCAUUUGUGACUGGCGGGCUAGAGUAUGGCAGAGGGGGGUAGAAUUCCACGUGUAGCAGUGAAAUGCGUAGAGAUGUGGAGGAAUACCGAUGGCGAAGGCAGCCCCCUGGGCCAAUACUGACGCUCAUGCACGAAAGCGUGGGGAGCAAACAGGAUUAGAUACCCUGGUAGUCCACGCCCUAAACGAUGUC